GACGAACGCUGGCGGCGUGCUUAACACAUGCAGGUCGAACAGAAAGGCCCUGCUUUUGUGGGGUGCUCGAGUGGCGAACGGGUGAGUAACACGUGAGUAACCUGCCCUUGACUUUGGGAUAACUUCAGGAAACUGGGGCUAAUACCGGAUAGGAGCUCCUGCUGCAUGGUGGGGGUUGGAAAGUUUCGGCGGUUGGGGAUGGACUCGCGGCUUAUCAGCUUGUUGGUGGGGUAGUGGCUUACCAAGGCUUUGACGGGUAGCCGGCCUGAGAGGGUGACCGGCCACAUUGGGACUGAGAUACGGCCCAGACUCCUACGGGAGGCAGCAGUGGGGAAUAUUGCACAAUGGGCGGAAGCCUGAUGCAGCAACGCCGCGUGCGGGAUGACGGCCUUCGGGUUGUAAACCGCUUUCGCCUGUGACGAAGCGUGAGUGACGGUAAUGGGUAAAGAAGCACCGGCUAACUACGUG
rnacentral:rRNA from 1 species